AACGAACGCUGGCGGCAUGCCUAACACAUGCAAGUCGAACGAGACCUUCGGGUCUAGUGGCGCACGGGUGCGUAACGCGUGGGAACCUGCCCUUAGGUUCGGAAUAACUCCCCGAAAGGGGUGCUAAUACCGGAUAAUGUCUUCGGACCAAAGAUUUAUCGGCUUUGGAUGGGCCCGCGUUGGAUUAGCUAGUUGGUAGGGUAAAAGCCUACCAAGGCGACGAUCCAUAGCUGGUCUGAGAGGAUGAUCAGCCACACUGGGACUGAGACACGGCCCAGACUCCUACGGGAGGCAGCAGUUGGGAAUAUUGGACAAUGGGCGAAAGCCUGAUCCAGCACUGCCGCGUGAGUGAUGAAGGCCUUAGGGUUGUAAAGCUCUUUUACCCGGGAUGAUAAUGACAGUACCGGGAGAAUAAGCUCCGGCUAACUACGUG
rnacentral:rRNA from 1 species